AGAUAGGCAGAAGAGGAAUGUUGUGAAAAGUGCUCCUUUGAGGCAGAUCCUAACCUACUGCAGUGAUCUUUCCCUAGAGAAGACUCACAGAACUGGCAAUCAUUGCACCAGGAGAGAUGAAUUGCUUUGCUCUGAAGUACAGAAAUCUACCCAAUGACACGGCACCCCACACACAACAAGGAGAUGUGUACAAAUAUCUAGUUCAUACAAUUUCAAUCAAGGAAUGAGAAGAGAAAACACUUCUGCAUCAAGGUGACUUCACUCAAUUGCAGCUGAAAACGAAUGAGAUCAUGUCAGUAAAUGCCUUUGGGCUCUUCAAAGAAAGUGAAAAACCCACCAGUUCACUGUGAAUCCCAAGCCUGCAGAUAAGGACGGAGAAGCUGGGAGACAUCGGGUAACUUACCAAAGUCCACACAGCUGGAUACCUGCAGCCAUGUUGUGAAUGACUCUAUGGAGAGGACCACAUGGCAUGGAACUGAGGCCCUCUGGCUGAAACCCUGCAAGGAACUGGCUGACACCCUCCAACAAUCACAACCGUGGGCUUUGGAAGGAUACUCCAACCCCCGUCAAGCCUUCAGGAUCCCUUAGGGUGCUGUUUAGGAAACAGACUAAGAGAAAGCAAGGACAAGAGCUGAAAGAGUUCAUCCUCUAUCUUCUGGGAGAGCUUCCAAAAGUCCUCUCUCUUGUCCUUUGAUGUCAUUAUGAGUAGAUGUGAGAUGUGAGGAGAACUACUGCCUCUCCAUACUCAUCUGAGUGUGAAACCGCUCCACACAGGAAACAGAGCCAAGAGAACUACUGAGAAAAGCACACAGAGCUACAAAAUUUGGUCAACUAUAAAGCUUACCUUGCACCUAAAUUUCCAGUUCUGUGAGUCAAUAAACAUCCUUAUUGCUUCAACC